UUGCAUCAACUCAUGAUGUAUUGCCAGAUGAUCCUGUCAGAGUAGUGUCUUCAUAGAUGUCUACCAGAGCAUCAUAGAUGUCUCCAAGCUGAUAGCGAAGAGGUUUCAAGGCAUCGAUUCGCCUUUCCCAUCUUGUUUCACUCAAUGGUUUAACUGUGAGAUUAGAUAUGUGACGUGUUAGAACUUCCCAGCUAUGUGUAGAAGCUGAGAAAUACACGUACACAGGUUGAACUAAAUCAAAGAAGGCAGUUGCCUCCAAGCAACACUUUCCAGCAUCAUUAACAACCAAAUUCAAUGAAUGUGCACUGCAAGAAACGAAAAAGGCUCGUGGAUUAAUAUCCAAAAUUCUUCGCUGGACACCAUUUUCUUUCCCUUUCAUAUUGCUCCCAUUGUCGUAGCCUUGACCAUGCAAGUUUUCUAUAGGCAGUGACAUCUCUUCUAACUGGUGAAGAAUAGUUUCUGUCAUACCAGCUCCAGUUGUCUCCGUAAGUGACACAAAUCCCAAGAAGUGUUCCUUUAUGCAUACUGAUUCAGUCUCAUUCUCAGUCUCUGAAGUAGGCCUAUCCACAAACCGAAUGAUCAUGGUCAUUUGUUCAACAUGGCCUGCAUCUGGUGUACAAUCUAGAAUGAUC